rfam:Salmo salar isolate Sally breed double haploid chromosome ssa10, whole genome shotgun sequence.
UGCAUUCACUACUGUAAGUCGCUCUAGAUAAGAACGUCUGCUAAAUGACUGAAA